UUUGGUGGUCAUAGCGCGAGCAAAACACCCGAUCCCUUCCCGAACUCGGAAGUUAAGUGCCGCCGCGCCAAUGGUACUGCGUCUCAAGACGUGGGAGAGUAGGUCACCGCCAAACCUAGAAAGAAGCAUAGCCUCUCAAAAAUCUCGCGGGAUGGAGCAGCCCGGUAGCUCGUCAGGCUCAUAACCUGAAGGUCGU
rnacentral:rRNA from 1 species